rnacentral:rRNA from 1 species
AUGUUUUUGAAAAUUGUUGGGCAAUAUCACACUCAUUCCUCUGUAGGAUUUGCAUUGUGGCGAUCUGAGGAGACAGUGAGUAGAUUCACGUAUGUUCUAGCAGGGUGGGAGGGAUCUGCUCAUGAUUCUGCUGUAUUGCAUGAUGCCCUAUCUCGAAAAUUUUAUUUGGCUGAUGCUGGGUAUGCCACCAGGCCGGGCAUAUUGCCACCCUAUCGAGGUGUUCGCUAUCAUCUGCAGGAGUUCCAUGGUCCGAAUCGUCCAACCUCUCCAAAAGAGCUGUUCAACCACCAUCAUUCCUCACUAAGGACAACGGUCGAGCGAGCCUUUGCAGCUAUUAAGAAUCGUUUCAAGAUUCUUAGUAAUAGACCUUUCGUACCCUUGAAAUCACAACCCAAGGUGGUUAUUGCUUGUUGCGUCAUUCACAACUGGAUUUUAGACAAUGGACCUGAUGAGUUUGUAGAUGACGAACCAACUUGGUACCACCACCUGCCAAGGAGUAGCAAUCGUGUCUCCGACCGAGAGAGUGAUGUACGCGAGUGGGCAGCCAAGCGUGAUUUGAUUGCCCAACAGAUGUGGAAUGAUAGAGAGAGAUUGGCAAACAAUUAUGCUUCAGACAGCGGGAGCAGUGCUAGUACCAUUUGA